rnacentral:rRNA from 1 species
AUUCCAGCUCCAGAAGCGUAUGCUAAAGUUGUUGCAGCUAAAAAGCUCGUAGUUAAGUUUCGGGUUUUUUGUGCGGACCGGAUGAUCGUGGUAUUUUACCCGAUUGAUUUCGUUGUCUGCGCAACCCUCCUCGAAGUUUUAAUUUUUAACACUUCGUCUCUCACUGUAACUAAAUUAGAGUGCUUCAAGCAGGUCGUUUUUCAUGACCAGGAUACUUCUUACGGGAUGAUAAGAUAGGACUAGCGUGCUAUUUUGUUGUUGUUUGCACACGCGAGUAAUGAUGAAUAGGAACAGUUGGGGGUAUUCGUAUUCAGCAGCUAGAGGUGAAAUUCUUGGAUUUGCGAAAGACGAACUACUGCGAAGGCAUUUACCAAGGAUGUUUUCAUCG